GAUGAACGCUAGCGGGAGGCCUAACACAUGCAAGCCGAGCGAGGGGCGUACGGGUGCGGAACACGUGUGCAACCUGCCUUUAUCCAGGGGAUAGCCUUUCGAUAGGACGAUUAAUACCCUAUAGAUAUAGAUGCGCACGCGCACGAGUAGCUAGUUGGUGAGGUAACGGUUCACCAAGGCGACGAUCAUUAGGGGUACUGAGAGGGUGAUCCCCCACACUGGUACGGAGACACGGACCAGACUCCUACGGGAGGCAGCAGUGAGGAAUAAUGGACAAGGGGUGCAAGCCUGAUCCAGCCAUCCCGCGUGUAGGAAGACGGCCUAGGGGUUGUAAACUACUUUUAUCUGGGGAUAGGUACCAGAUGAAUAAGCACCGGCUAACUCCGUGCCAGCAGCCGCGGUAAUUC
rnacentral:rRNA from 1 species